UUUCUUUUUGUGUUUUUUAAAUCAAUUUACAUAUCAUUACUUAUCUUUCUAACAUUAACAUUAGAGUAAGAUUAAAUAACAAGACUAAAGUUAAUAUUAAAUAUUUGGGCCUAAAUAAAAAUCAACAAAUCAAGAUAUAAUUUAAAAGUCUAUUGUCUAAAUAAAUAAAACAAAUAUAAUGAAAGACAAAUAAAAAAAAAAGUAAGUGGAACUUUCAGCAAGAGAGGCAUAUACGUUUCUUUUUUUACUUAACAGUACACACUCAUCAACAAAACAAACUGAAAAAUUAGAAAGAAAAAAAAAAGAGAAAGAAAAGGAUAUUCGGUAACAGCGGCGAUGCGAGUAGGAUGAUGACGAAAAGAAGCGGAAUCACGACGGUUGGUGCUGCUCUUCACGGAAAUGGCAGACGUCGGUGUUGUU
rnacentral:lncRNA from 1 species